rnacentral:tRNA from 1 species
UGGCUCAGUCGGUAGAGCGUCCGCCUCACAACCGGGAGGUCGUGGGUUCGAACCCCGGC